rnacentral:misc_RNA from 1 species
GUCGUAACAAGGGUAGCCGUAGGGGAACCUGGGGCUGGAUCACCUCCUUAAAAAAUAAUCGUUUAGGAUAGGCGUUCACAUGAAUUAUUUGUUUUACCCAAAUCAUUUCUUUACUGAGAUGAGAUUACGGAGAGUUCUUUAACAUUUUUAUAAGUUCAAUCAAGUCACAUCAUAGUGUCUUUAUCUUUUUUAGAUUUAGAUAUGAAUGGUGUGCAAAUGUCACCAAACCCGUCAUGUUUUAGAACAUAAGUUUGGUGUACAUACUGCAAAGUAAUUUUGGCGUUAUGUAAUAUAGAUAUACUUGAAGAGCAUUAAUCAUUAAGUUGUUUGAUGUAAUAUGGUCAAGUAAUUAAGCGCAUACGGUGGAUGCCUUGGC